rnacentral:rRNA from 1 species
GAUGAACGCUGGCGGCGUGCCUAAUACAUGCAAGUAGAACGCUGAAGGAGGAGCUUGCUUCUCUGGAUGAGUUGCGAACGGGUGAGUAACGCGUAGGUAACCUGCCUGGUAGCGGGGGAUAACUAUUGGAAACGAUAGCUAAUACCGCAUAAGAGUAGAUGUUGCAUGACAUUCACUUAAAAGGUGCAAUUGCAUCACUACCAGAUGGACCUGCGUUGUAUUAGCUAGUUGGUGAGGUAACGGCUCACCAAGGCAACGAUACAUAGCCGACCUGAGAGGGGGAUCGGCCACACUGGGACUGAGACACAGCCCAGACUCCUACGGGGGGCAGCAGUAGGGAAUCUUCGGCAAUGGGCGGAAGUCUGACCGAGCAACGCCGCGGGAGGGAAGAAAGUUUUCGGAUCGUAAAGCUCUGUUGUAAGGGGAGAACGAGUGUGAGAGUGAAAAGUUCACACUGUGACGGUAUCUUACCAGAAAGGGACGGCUAACUACGUG